GGAAAUGCCAUAGCUCAGUGGUAGAACAAUUGCCUUGCAUGCAGAAGGUCCCAGCUUCACUCUCUGGCAUCUCCA